UACGUAGGCAGCAAGCGUUGUUCGGAGUUACUGGGCGUAAAGGGUGUGUAGGCGGUUGUUUAAGUUUGGUGUGAAAUCUCCCGGCUCAACUGGGAGGGUGCGCCGAAUACUGAAUGACUAGAGUGUGGGAGAGGUGAGUGGAAUUCCUGGUGUAGCGGUGAAAUGCGUAGAUAUCAGGAGGAACACCGGUGGUGUAGACGGCUCACUGGACCAUAACUGACGCUGAGACGCGAAAGCCAGGGGAGCGAACGGG
rnacentral:rRNA from 1 species